GGCUUCAAAAAUACGAAUGGUUAUUUGGUGUCUGACCGCCUAAAAAAGGAAAAAGCGGAAGAACUAAGAACGGAUCUAAAAAAUGCAUGGACGGUAAAAGUAAAAAGGAAAAGUUCCGGGUAAGUACCUCUGGGAUGAAAUUCAUUGUCGCCGGCGGGGCUGCUGGUGGAGCUGCCGCUUCUGAUGAAGCCGCCGGUGGGGUUUUCGUCGCCGAUGGAGUAGCUGUCGCCGUUGUUGGAGCUGUUGGCGGGACCUCCAUUGCUGGUGGGAUUGCUGACGGUGCCGCCUUUGGGAAGAUGAAGCAGAAUGCAG
rnacentral:lncRNA from 1 species